rnacentral:rRNA from 1 species
UACGGGGGGGGGGCAAGCGUUGUUCGGAAUUACUUGGCGUAAAGGGCUCGUAGGCGGCCAACUAAGUCAGACGUGAAAUCCCUAGGCUCAACCUAGGAACUGCGUCUGAUACUGGAUGGCUUGAAUCCGGGAGAGGGAUGCAGAAUUCCAGGUGUAGCGGUGAAAUGCGUAGAUAUCAGGAAGAACACCCGUGGCGAAGGCGGUUCUCUGGGACGGUACUGACGCUGAGACGCGAAAGCGUGGGGAGCGAACAGG